rnacentral:rRNA from 1 species
GCGACCCCAGUCAGGCGGGACUACCCGCUGAGUUUAAGCAUAUCAAUAAGCGGAGGAAAAG